CGCCCUCGGAGGGCUGUGGAGGGGCCAGGCCAGGUCUGAAGCUGGUCCAGUGCAGUCAUGGGGGUAGCUCUGGAGCAGUUCUUCAUUUUUGUAGGGCUGCUGGCGUGCCUGGUGUACCUGGUGAAGUGUGUGAGAUUCUCCAAAUGUAUUUUUCUGCACUUCUGGAAAGUUUUGCCAAGGUCUUUCUUGAAGUCAAUGGGACAAUGGGCAGUGAUCACUGGAGCGGGAGAUGGGAUUGGGAAAGCUUAUUCAUUUGAGCUAGCAAGACAAGGACUCAAUGUUGUGCUUAUCAGCCGGACACUGAAAAAACUACAGGCCAUUGCUGCGGAGAUUGAGUGUACCACAGGGAGUAGCGUGAAGAUUAUACAAGCAGAUUUUACCAAAGACAACAUCUAUGAGCAUAUUAGAGAAAAACUUGAAGGCUUAGAAAUUGGAAUUUUAGUCAACAAUGUCGGAAUGCUUCCAAACCUUCUCCCGAGCCACUUCCUUGAUACACCAGAUGAAAUCCAGAGUCUCAUCCACUGUAACAUCACCUCAGUAGUGAAGAUGACACAGCUAAUUCUGAAACGCAUGGAAUCAAGGCGGAAAGGUCUCAUCUUGAACAUUUCUUCCGGGGUGGCCCUCUUUCCCUGGCCACUCUACUCCACGUAUUCGGCUUCCAAGGCUUUUGUGUGUACGUUUUCCAAAGCCCUGCAAGCGGAAUAUAAAAGGAAAGGAAUCAUUAUCCAGGUGCUGACUCCCUAUGCUGUUUCGACCCCAAUGACAAAGUAUCUAAACACCAACAUGGUAACCAAGACUGCUGAUGAGUUUGUUAAAGAAUCACUGAAUUAUGUCAUGAUUGGAGACGAAACCUGUGGUUGCCUCAUCCACGAAAUCUUGUAGAACCUUGGUAAAAAGAACCUGAAGACACUGGGGAGAUUGGGCACCAGGAAGAGGAAGUGCUUACUAAGAGAAGGAGGAAGGGGUGUGGGCGGAGCUUCCUGAACCUGAUCCCAUCCUGGGUUUUGUACAGCAGCACAUUCCAGAAGAAAUACAUGGACUACCUCAAGCACAAUACCAACACCAUAUAGUCCAAGUGGGCUGAUGCUCCAUCCAGCAUUGUUUUCCAAGUUCCGUGUUGGCUGUAGAAAACUUAUGAGCAGACCAGCACCUGCCACUCUUCUGAAGCUGGAGAUGCUGUGUCACAAAUACAGUACUGAAAAUACAACUUUUUUUUUCCAUUUUA